UACGUAGGGACCGAGCGUUGUCCGGAAUCAUUGGGCGUAAAGCGGGUGUAGGCGGACUUAUAAGUCAGGUGUGAAAUCCCAGGGCUCAACCCUGGAAGUGCAUUUGAUACUGUAAGUCUUGAAUGUGGUAGAGGUUACUGGAAUUGCUGGUGUAGUGGUGAAAUACGUAGAUAUCAGCAGGAACACCGGAGGCGAAGGCGGGUAACUGGGCCAACAUUGACGCUGAGACCCGAAAGCGUGGGGAUCAAACAGG
rnacentral:rRNA from 1 species